rnacentral:rRNA from 1 species
AUUGAACGCUGGCGGCAGGCCUAACACAUGCAAGUCGAACGAGUGGCAGACGGGUGCGUAAUGUCUGGGAAACUGCCAGAUGGAGGGGGAUAACUACUGGAAACGGUCGCAUAUACCGCAUACCAUCGGGUAUGCCCAGAUGGGAUUAGCUAGUAGGUGGGGUAAGGGCUCACCUAGGCGACGAUCCCUAGCUGGUCUGAGAGGAUGACCAGCCCAACUGGAACGGAGACACGGUCCAGACUCCCACGGGAGGAAGCAGUGGGGAAUAUUGCACAAUGGGCGCAAGCCUGAUGCAGCCAUGCCGCGUGUAUGAAGAAGGCCUUCGGGUUGUAAAGUACUUUCAGCGGGGAGGCGUUACCCGCAGAAGAAGCACCGGCUAACUCCGUGCCAGCAGCCGCGGUAAUAC